GAAACAAAUUUCCCGCUUUAAUAAAAAAAGUUGAAAACCAGCCGUGCAAAUUUCCCACACAAAUUGCCGGAAAAUGCCGACGUGGCAGUUGUACUCCGUCUCCGUGAAUGAUUUCCGAUGGAAAGUCUCGGAUGGAGAGUCUCUAACCGGAGCCAUCGAAGAACCGAGCUUAACCCUAGCUUCCCAGCAGCUCCAAUCCAUGCCCGAUCUCUUGCGUCAAGGAAGUUCGAGAUUAGCAGGGAGUAGUGAUGCAAGUUCUACAGAAUUUCCAGUCUUUCGAACUGGAUCUGGGAAACCUGUGGCAGUGAAACAGUCUUCGAUAUUGAGAGCUCUUUCCAUCCUUGGUGACGAAGAAAAGGCGGAUUUGGACACAGGCAUAGGAACUGGAAGAGAAAAUGGUCUUGGUUUUCAGGAAGCUGUGUUCCAUAAAGGCUCAGGGAAAGCUCUUAAUGCUCCAGAAUCUUUUUGUCCUUCUAGCUUGGAGAAACAAUUUAGCAUGUCGAACUCCUUGUUCCAGACAGGCUCUGGUAAAGCAGUCAAUAUAUCUUCCACAGGUCUUAAUAGGGCCAAGGUUUUGUUGCGCUUGGAAGAAAAUGGUGACCAUGAAACAUUUCCAGGUUCUGGAAAGAAAAAUAGAACUUCAGAAGAGCUCUUUGGUUUUUGGAAUUCAUUUCCUUUUGUGGAAGUAGAGGGCAUUGCUAGCACAGGGUCUACUAAUGUUUCAGCAGCUUCAUUGUCUCCGAUUGAUGUUAAAUUUAACUCCUCAGUUUGUCCAGCAGAGGAGUUAGUAGCGGAUUUUCUGCAUUCUGCAGAUAAACCUCCUCCAAUAAAGUUUCAUACUGCUGGUGGUAGAUCAAUAUCAGUUUCCUGUGAGGCAUUGAAACGCGCACGGAGUCUGCUUGGAGAUCUAGAGAUGGGGUGUCUUGUAGAUGAAAAGGAUGAGGCUGAUCCAUUGUUUUCUUUAUCGAAAGGCCAAAUAUCUGUUGAUCAGGUCUCCACCAAAGAAUUGAACUCUGAUACUCCUGUUUUCCUCUUAUCGGCAGCGAAAGACAGUGGGCCCUCAAGCCUUUUUACAUCGCCAUUGAGAUCAACUUUGUAUCAUAAGAACUCUUCGAUUAAAACAAAGAAUCUCGUUCCAGCAAGUAACUUGAUAAAGGAAUUUGAUGCUGUGGCAAAAGAAAGCACAAGUAGGCUGGACCAUAAUAUUCCACAGAAUGGAGAGCCAUUCAAUAAGAACUCAGCAACUAUGGACCUUAGAGAAAAUGACAUCGCUUCAAAACCUAAAUUGCUAGAACGGCCUUCCAGGGGUCCUUUGGUGGAUAUCUCAAAUAGCAUUGGAGCAGGAUUUGCAGAUAGAAACCAAAACUUUGGUCGGAAGAGGAAACUCAGUGGAAGUUUUGUUUCUCCAUUUAAGAAGCCUCGAAGCACCAACGGCGUCAACCCUCUCAAAAGAAACGAUUCCGGUGCUGCUAACGGGUUCUCAGAUUUAGCAUCAAAAUUACCCUCUCAAAAGGGAAAGGUUUCAGGUAGAUAUCCAUUCCAUGUGGCACGAUUGUAUAUGAAGGAGUAUCUUGGAAAGCCCCCAUCAAUCCUGAGCAAGCUAGAGAGUUUGCCAGAUGACGUGAGAAGGAUGAAUCCAGCUACUGCUGAGACUUAUGUGUUCAAUGAUAAAUCUUGCUCAGGUUGCAUUGGAGUAGAGUCUUUCUUGGAGAUGCUGUCUCAAUCAGGAGCUUCCAUGCAAUAUGUUUCUAAAAAGUGGAUUUCAAAUCACUAUAAGUGGAUUGUUUGGAAACUUGCAGCUUAUGAGAGGUGUUACAGUGCCAAAUUUUCCGGGAAACUUCUGACAAUCUGCAAUGUACUUGAAGAAUUAAAAUACAGAUAUGAACGAGAAGUAAAUCAUGGUCAUCGAUCUGCAGUUAAGAGAGUUUUAGAAGGAGACGUCCCACCUUCUUCUAUGAUGGUACUCUGUGUUUCCAAUAUCUAUUCAAUUUGUGUCUCCCCAGUUGGACCUCAAUCUUCACUAUCUAGCACGACCGAAAAUGGAACUUGUGCAAAAGUUGAACUGACAGAUGGGUGGUAUUCAAUAAUUGCUGUCUUAGAUAUACAACUAUCCAAGAAGUUGGCUGCUGGAAAGCUGUUUGUUGGCCAAAAGCUUAGGAUCUGGGGAGCUGGAUUGUGUGGCUGCACAGGUCCUGUUUCACCUCUUGAGGCGUCAGGGACGACUAGUUUACUGCUGCAUAUAAAUGGGACAUAUAGAGCUCAUUGGGCAUCUCGUUUGGGCUUCUGUAAAGGUGGUGGUAUUCCAUUAUCAUUUAUGUCAAUCAAGGAUGGUGGAGGUGCUGUUCCAGUAACAUUGGUUGGAAUUUCAAGGAUAUAUCCUGUUCUCUUCAGGGAAAGGUUAAGUAAUCGGGGGUUCGUUGUUAGAUCUGAACGGAUGGAAGCUAAAGAGAUGCAGUAUUUUAAUGAAAGACGUAGUAGCAUUGUGGAGGGAGUAGUCUCAGAAUCUCAAAGAGAAAAGAGAGAUGCCUACAUCGGAAACGACUACGAAAGUAAAGAAGGGGCAAGGAUUUUGAGGAUACUCGAGAGAGCUGCAGAACCAGAACUUCUGAUGGCAGAGAUGACUUCAGAGCAGUUGAAUUUAUUUUCAUCCUAUCAAGCUAAGUUGGAGGCAUUGAGACAGUCUGACCUGCAAAAAUCUCUUGAAAAAGCUUUGCAAGUUGCUGGAUUUGCUGAAAGAGACGUCACUCCGUUUAUGCGAGUUAGAGUUGUUGGAUUGAUUAGCAAAAGCACACCAUUGAAGUGCUUUCCAAAGGAAGGCUUAAUUACAAUAUGGAAUCCUACUGAGAAACAGCAAUGUGAGCUUGCAGAGGGUCAAGCUUUUUCUGUUACAGGGCUUACACCGAUAAGCUCAGACUCUAACACCCUUUACUUGCAAACGAAAGGAUCCAUAGCCAAAUGGCUGCCUUUGUCUCCUCUGGCAGUUGAGCAUUUUGAGGACUUUUUCUGUCCUCGCCAAUCAAUUUCAUUGAGUAAAUUGGGUGAAGUUCCUAUGUCCAGGGAGUUUGAUAUUGCUGCGGUGGUUGUUUUUGUGGGGCAGCUGUAUACAGAAGCUCAUCAAACAAAACAAUGGGUAUUUGUAGCUGAUGGAUCCAAAGCUAUGUUGGAUUCCGAUGACAAAUCAGAAACCUUGAUGGCCAUCAGUUUCACCUCACCAUGCAUAGAAACUGAUUCAUUUGCACCAAUAAACUCCAACCUUGUAGAAUCUACAGUUUGUUUUUGCAAUGUCAUCAAGAGAGCUAGAGAUAAUGUUAAUAAUCUCUGGGUAGCCGAAGCAACCGAAAAUUCAACCUAUUAUUUAAAUUAUGAUCAUUCACAUUGUUCUCAUCUAAAAGACGCUGGUGCUUCUGCUGAAAGAUGGGCAAAGAUAUCUGGUUUGAGACUUGAAAAGCUUAGGGGAAGAGUUCUAUCUAUAAUUAGCUGAUGUGGAACUUAAGCAGGGAAAGGCUGGUAACAAUUUGUCACUCCAGCUAAAGAAUGCGAUUGAGAUGCACAUAUACAUAGCAAAAUGAUCCUGCCAACAUUAAGCUUUUGUUCUGGAUGAAUGGGAGUCCAUGGGUUGCUAUCACUAAAACAAACCGUUUGUGUUUUAAUUAAGUUGUCUUCAACAAUUAACAUGUUUUGUUGGUUUUGGUUUUGGUCAUCUUAGCAUCAAUCUGUCUCCACAUUUUGUGUCAAUUUGAUGGUUUUGAGGAGAUACCUGCAUUCACUUAAAAUGUUAAUUAUCUUGUAGUCCCAAUCAUGAAGUUUUUUUUCGACACUGGUAACAUAAAUCCAAUCAUGAAGGUUUAAUCACUAUACGUAAUAAAUUGAGUCAAAUGGUGCAGGUCAUGUCGUUUACCGGCAAAGCAGCACAACUGAAUAUGUUGUGUGGUCAAGGAUACAUGUAUUGAUUCAACUAUGAUUAAUUAAAUAUGUUAAUAAAUGAUCUUAA